rnacentral:rRNA from 1 species
UACGGAGGGUGCAACCGUUGCUCGGAAUUAUUGGGCGUAAAGCGCACGUAGGCGGUCUGCCAAUUCGGAUGUGAAAGCCCUCGGCUUAACCGAGUAAGUGCACUCGAAACUGGCAGUCUUGAGUACUGGAGAGGGUCGCGGAAUUCCCGGUGUAGAGGUGAAAUUCGUAGAUAUCGGGAGGAACACCAGUGGCGAAGGCGGCGACCUGGACAGAUACAGACGCUGAGGUGCGACAGCGUGGGGAGCAAACAGG